CAGCAGCCGCGGUAAUACGUAGGUGGCGAGCGUUGUCCGGAAUUAUUGGGCGUAAAGGGAGCGCAGGCGGACAUAUAAGUCCAUCUUAAAAGUGCGGGGCUCAACCCCGUGAGGGGAUGGAAACUGUAUGCCUUGAGUGCAGGAGAGGAAAGCGGAAUUCCCAGUGUAGCGGUGAAAUGCGUAGAUAUUGGGAGGAACACCAGUGGCGAAGGCGGCUUUCUGGACUGUAACUGACGCUGAGGCUCGAAAGCCAGGGGAGCGAACGGGAUUAGAGACCCCCGUAGUCCCUGUCUCUUAUACC
rnacentral:rRNA from 1 species